UUAGACCAUCCCAACACCCAUGGUUAGGGGGCUGAGAACGAUCAUCUACGGCACCAUAACCCGAGGGCCGUGGGAGCUGUUAAUCACGCUCUGGUCCAAUGGCCAUGUCUCAUCAACCAGACUUGGUUUCCUGUCUCCUUAGAACUCAAGGAUAAGGUGGUACGAGCCUAUAGAACAGAUCCUGUUCAAGUAAGGUCGUGAACUUCAUCUUCGUCAUCUGUGCUUGUAAAUGCCUUUUCUGUGCUUUAUAUUGCCGAUGAGGGACAGAGAGAGUGUCGUUCUGCAGUGCAAGAAGUGGAAUUGAGUCAGCUUUCAUAUGCGAAGAUUAACAGGUUUGCUUUUACAACUAUCAUGAAAUGAAAGCAGGCCGUUUGAUGUUAACAAUUUGUAUAGGGUUAUGGAACAUUGGAAGAUUUCAGAAAUUCCACAAGACGGGAAAUUGACAAAAGUAGGUGUUAAAUGGGUUUGUUUGAUGAUUUUGCUUUUUAAUUUUGUUUUAUUUUAAGCUGGAAGUUUGCUAUGACGAAGAUCAGAAACCUAGCCAGUUGUUGUCCUUUUGAUCUCUCCAAUCAACUAGAACUAUAAAACAUUUGUAAUUUUUUCUAUGCCAGGACUAUUUGAGGCCAAAUAAGAAGGAAAAAAGUAAAAGGAGAAAAAAUUAUAAAUGUAGAAUCUGCUACUAAAGAAUUUGUAUUUUCAGUUACAGUUUAAAAAAAAUCAGAAUCUCUUCUUGAAAGAAAGGUACAUGUCUACCUACUUUUUAAUACUUGUACUCACUGUAGUAUCUUUCACAGUGACAAGAGAAAUUCAUUGUGAUAUUUAGAAGCUAAAUUUUCAAACAGAAUGAUUUAUAUAUAUAGUGCAAGUUCUGUGUGUUUCGGGAAUAAUAAAAUAAAUUAUGAUAAAAAAGAAGCUCUGGCUAGCAGAAAAAAGAAGCUACUACUUGAGAGUUCAUGCUGCAUAAAAUAUGAUGAAAUGCCUCCUAUUAGGGCAGUUAUCACACCCCUGGAGGCAAGAGUUAAAGGCUUAAAGUGUGCCCAAUUAGAGGUACAUACAACUUUAGCCUUUGCAUUUGUUUGAGGAAUUGCAUGUGCUACCUUGUUUAAGUUUAGUAAAGGUGAUUCUUCUUAUCUUCUAUCCAUGACUGUUUGGAGGAUGGGUUACAAAUGCAGGACGACAAUAAAGCUCUAGAUCAACUUACAUCUAAAGAAGCUGUUGUACUGGAGGCAGAACGACUCAACGAACUAUUAAUUAUAUGGCAUUGGCAAGCCUGCAAAGACAAACCAAGAUCUGAUGAAACAGAGAGCGGUAUGCCAGGUUGCUUAUGGUCCUUCAGUUUUGUGAUACCAAUAGGAGCAUAUUCUCCUGUUAGCUGCCACUAUCAAGAUUUUCA
rnacentral:lncRNA from 1 species